rnacentral:sRNA from 2 species
AACUCAAUACUCCGACAGUGCCAUAUACUUCGAUCCGAUCUUUGAACCAAUAUAACUUAUCGCAAAAUCAUCCUUUGGGAUCAACGCUGAGAACAGCACUGCAACAGGCACUGCAACAAUGCCUCCUUCUAUCAAGUCAGCUCGCAAGUUUUUGUUCGGCGUUCCCUGGACUAGAGUCCUCCCUAAAGUCAAAGGCACGUCUCGAGGCCAUCGACUCUACCCGUCCCAAACUCCGAAAAAUGACUCGAAGAAAAAUUAUCGAUUAGACAAAGGCUCUGUUGUUAAUGGGAAGCACGAGAUUAUCCUUCAGGCCAACAAGAAUGCGGAGGAUAGCAGCGUCCGAGAGGCAGCAAAUAAGAAUUCCCAUGCUAUAUUGGCUAAAGUCGUUUAUGACCCCGAGAAUAACCCGAAUGGUGAUGGGGUGCCGGAAGCUCUACUCGCUUCCUUCAAAGGAGAGAACAAAGACGAAGACAAGGC